UAGAGCUGUGGGGAGCAGGGGGGGGCAGGAAAUGGGCAGGCCGAGGCUGCCACCGAUGGGUCAUGUGGCCCUCGAUCUCGCAACCUCCUCCUGCAGGUUGGGCUGUGGUACGUCCCUGGACUUGGUGGAGUGACGACUACUGCUAGAAGCCUGCCGGCCAGAACAGCAGAGGGUGGGAAAGCCACACGCAAUUCUCUUCAUAUACUAGGCUGCAGAAAUACAUUCGCACAUCCCUUGUGUCAAUUAUCUGGAUUGUAAGCCCCUCGGGGCAGGGACCCAUUCCCUCAGACAGCAUGUCAAAGUUCCCCAGAGAUUCGCAAGUUUCGAACACGGGCACACAGACAUGGAUCAGAGAAAAGAGCAAACAGGAAAAUGUAGCCCGGAGACCGGACUAGAAGCAAUACAGUGCAAUAAACUUAAAAGUAAACCAUGCCAUGCACGUUUGUUACGGGCGAUCAACAACUCUCGCAAGCGCAAAUGUCUGGAUCGGCAGUGAAUACACUGAAAGCAGCAACAUCGUAGCAUUUUAACCUGCCAGUUGUCGGCCGACACACUCCCGCGACGGGAAUGGACCUUGAGUUUCCGCUGGGGCUUCUGAGGGCUUCCGCUCAUCCGGCAUCGCCCCGAGAAACACCCAGCUGCACUCUCAUACCUGGGGCUUUGCGGGCGGAGGCGUUUUCUGGCCCUUUUUAAUAUGGACAUGGACUGGGGUAUUCUCAUCCACAUGGACGUGCAACGGGGGAGUUGUGGAGCGGUUCUUCAUGGUUCUUCUCCCACAAGCGGGAAAGGGCAAGGGGGGGAAAGGACCUGUGGAUAAGUAGACCGGAGAUAACAACAGUUCCACAUGCCCGAGUCAAAAAAGCACCUGCUCUUUCUUGAAGGGUGGCGGGUGAAGAAAACAAGAACUGCAGCUCAGAGAGGGGGCCAAUGUACGCAGGCAGAGUCGACACGUGGUAUAGUCCUUCCCGGACUACAACCCUCCCAAGAAGAAAACGAAAAAUCCUUCUCAAUGUGCUAGUGGGCAAGGAAGGUCAACGUAAGACAGCGUUCAAACACCGUCUUCCACCGCCUGCAACCUGAAGGGGUAUAGGCUGGCAAGGACUGUACCACGUGCUAGUUCUGCAUGAUCUAACACGCCCUAAUUUAGAUGAUCGCUACCAGCACACGCAUCACCCAGCUCACCCUCAGUUCAGAUUACAAAAACUCUGGAAUAUAAAUAGCCCUUAUUUGGGGUGGUUUGAUGUAAAUAUUAUUUCUACAUAGGAGUGUUUGCCCAGUGAAACAGACAGACCUUUAUAGGAAAUGCUGACAUCUUAAAAUCUACUUCACUACUUAGGUAACAUCUAA